rnacentral:misc_RNA from 1 species
AAGUCGUAACAAGGUCUCCGUAGGUGAACCUGCGGAGGGAUCAUUACCGAGUGCGGGCGCCUCGCGCGCCCGACCUCCCAACCCUUUGAUGUGAUCAAGACCUCCUUCUGCCUCGGGGGUGACCCGGCCCUCGCGCCGCGGUCCCCCCGGUGGUACCCAAUCCAACCCUGCAUCAAUUGUCGUCCGAGUCGAAUAUGAAAUUCAAUCAAAACUUUCAACAACGGAUCUCUUGGUUCUG